rnacentral:rRNA from 1 species
GAAAAAUUGAGUGGGCCUAGUCUGAAUUUUUCUACUUAUGAUAAAGAAUUAUAUGCUCUUGUUCGGACUUUAGAAACAUGGCAACAUUAUUUAUGGCCCAAAGAAUUUGUUAUACAUUCUGAUCAUGAAUCUUUGAAACAUAUUAAAAGUCAAGCUAAACUGAAUCGUAGACAUGCUAAAUGGGUUGAAUUCAUUGAGACUUUUCCUUAUGUCAUUAAACACAAGAAGGGAAAAGAAAAUGUUAUUGCUGAUGCAUUGUCUCGCCGCUAUACUAUGCUUUCACAACUUGACUUCAAAAUAUUUGGUUUGGAGACCAUCAAAGAUCAAUAUGUGCAUGAUGCUGAUUUUAAAGAUGUAAUGCAGAAUUGUAAAGAAGGAAGAAUGUGGAACAAGUUCGUCGUUAACGGUGGAUUUGUGUUUCGUGCUAACAAGCUAUGCAUUCCAGCUAGCUCCGUUCGUCUUUUGUUGUUGCAGGAGGCGCAUGGAGGAGGAUUAAUGGGACACUUUGGCGUGAAGAAGACGGAGGACGUACUUGCUAAACAUUUCUUUUGG